CAGUGGAACCACAACUCAUACAACUCGGUGGAACACUGAAGGCUCGUCACGAAACAAUCGAGAGGAUGUCCUGUCCACAUAGCCUCGGUUAUCACUUCGCCUCAGCCAACAAGUGCUCGGCACAUUUGCUCACUUUACCCUUUCACAUUAUCACUUCAUCAGAAUCCGCAAUGCUUACUCUAAGGCGGGCACACAAUCGGAAAAAU
rnacentral:lncRNA from 1 species